rnacentral:tRNA from 1 species
GCCGAGGUGGCGAAACUGGCAGACGCACAGGACUUAAAAUCCUGUGGAGCACUAGCUCCGUGCGGGUUCGAUCCCCGCCCUCGGCA